GGCGGGCUAGUGACUGGGGUGAAGUCGUAACAAGGUAGCCGUACCGGAAGGUGUGGCUGGAUCACCUCCUUAAAGGGAGACCUAAUUCAGGUAGGAGACG
rnacentral:rRNA from 1 species